rnacentral:rRNA from 1 species
AUUGAACGCUGGCGGCAUGCCUUACACAUGCAAGUCGAACGGCAGCACGGGAGCUUGCUCCUGGUGGCGAGUGGCGAACGGGUGAGUAAUACAUCGGAACGUACCCAGUAGUGGGGGAUAACGCACCGAAAGGUGCGCUAAUACCGCAUACGACCUACGGGUGAAAGCGGGGGACCGUAAGGCCUCGCGCUAUUGGAGCGGCCGAUGUCUGAUUAGCUAGUUGGCGGGGUAAUAGCCCACCAAGGCGGCGAUCAGUAGCUGGUCUGAGAGGGCGAUCAGCCACCAUGGGACUGGUAAACGGCCCAGCUGCCCCCGGGAGGCAACAGUGGGGAAUUUUGGACAAUGGGGGCAACCCUGAUCCAGCAAUGCCGCGUGUGCGAAGAAGGCCUUCGGGUUGUAAAGCACUUUUGUCAGGGAAGAAAUCUUUCAGGCUAAUACCCUUGGAAGGAUGACGGUACCUGAAGAAUAAGCACCGGCUAACUACGUGCCAGCCGCCGCCGUAA